rnacentral:lncRNA from 1 species
AGAGAGAGAGAGAGAGAGCUUGUGGCAACUCUAUCUCAGUUCUCUGUCUCUUCAAUAUCUUCUUUCAGCAAUUGAGGAAUUCUAUUUAUGUGUCGGUAUUUUGAUUGGCGAUUCCGACUUUUCUUACUUAUUUGUUCUCUCUUUUUUCUAUUCCAGAGAAUUCAACUGUUAUUAGUAGUUGAUUUCAAGAAUGUUGCAUCUUCUUCAAGCGAUUCAAAGCCCUAGAAUUGACAAUUGGUACAUGGAUUACAUAUGCAAAACUUCUGUUCUUUAUUUCUCGACAAUUGUUGAAACUUGAAUAGAAUUUGGUGAAUUUGAAGUCCAAUAUUUCUUGAACUUCAGCUGAUAAUGAAACGUGAGAAAUGUGAUUUAUUCUUAUGCUUUCCGACCCUUUGUCAGUGUCACACCUUUAAUAUUUGAACUUCAGCUGCUUUUGUUGAUUUCUUGCGAUGAGUGAAGAAACACACUAAUAGUAUAAUCAAAGAAAGAUUCAUAAAUACCACAAAAUGACAUGAUUUUGAAUUAUAUUGAUAUGGUUUUGUCACUGCCACAUCUAUCUCUCUUUUCUCUCUCAAUUUCCAAUCUUCUUCUUGAAACGUGACAAAGAGAUAAAAUCUGAUUUCUUGUUUCUUACCAUGUUGCCUGCUUCUGUUGACUUUUUGGAACAUGUGAAGAAAGACACAAAUAACAUAAUCAAGAAAGAUUGAUAAAUAAUUGGAGUUAUUUUUUGAGUGCCCUUUCCGACCCUUUAUAAUUGGCAUAUGGAUGAGUUAAACCCUAAUUGGUUGAUUGUCCUAAAUGAAACUGUAACAUGAAUUCUUUAUUCAUAAUAUAAAAAUGGAUGAUAUGCUUUUAUGAUUUCAUUCAAGGAUCUUGAUGAAUCUAAAUUUAAGUGGCUUUAGAAACCCUGGUGGUUGUUUUGGAUUGCGAGAAUGAAAGUUGCUUGCAGGAUGAAUGCUUAAUAUGAUAUUAGGUGGUAUGUUUGACCGGAAAUGCAAUUACAAUUUAAAUUUCAAUUUAUUGUGCAAGAUUGGGUAUACUUGAGUCAUUGGUGGUCUUAAAUGCAAUUGUAGUAUGAAUUGUUGUUCAUAAUAUGAAUUGGGAUGCUAUGCUGGGGGACAUGAUGUCCCAAAAUACAGUUGUAAUAUGGACUCUUUAUUAACUAUGCAAAAAAGAGAUGGUAUAAUUUGCCUCGAUGACCACACCUUUUAUGUUAUAUGCAGUAAUGAAAACUUGAAAGGGUAGCCACUGUUAUGUUAUCCAGGCAUGGGCAGUCCAAUGAUUUUCCUUCCCAUCCUUGUUCAUGAAUGAUGGAGGGUUUGGAACUAAUAAUGGUCCAUAUACUUUGAUGAAUUAAGUCCUGGUUAGUGCCAGAUUGAAGUAGUGACUAACAAAAGGAGUUGCCUUUUUUGUAACAAAGUUUGUAAUGUUUGACAAAGAAGUAUAAGCAAAACAAGAAUCAGCUGAAAGACAAUCUUUUCUACAAGCAAUUAUAGGUAUGUAUAGAGACCUUAAUUGCCUACAAAUUUAAAUUAGUUUUGAGACUCUUAUUAUUGGCUGGCAGCUAGCUGGUUGUAAAUACAAUUGUUCUAUGAAUUAUUGAUUCAAUUGUAAAACUGGGAUGGUAUACUUGAGCUUUUGGUCUCCUUCAAUGCAAUUGUAGUAUGAAAUUUGGAUGAUUAUGCUUUGGGGGACUAUGAAAUACAAUAGUUAUAUGGAUUAUGUAUUCAUGGUGUGAAAGCAGAUGGGACAAAAUGUCUGAGUCUGCUCAAUAUGCAAUUGUUAUUCACAAUGUAGAAAUUAGAAUUAAACGUUGAUCCCGAAAUGCAGUAUGAGUUCUUUGUUCAUAAUAUAAAAAUUGGAUGGUAUUUGUUGUGCCUUGAUGACCCUGAAUUAGUGGAAUGCUCUAUGGAUUUAGCUGGGGCUCCCUUCAUUGAAUUUCUCUUUUGAGAAGAAAUUAAUGGCAUUUUUGUUGACCUUUGACAGCCUUUAUUCAAUAGAGUGUUGUGGUGUUAACAUAUGAAGAUCAGUGUAUUGAACACUCACCUAAAUAGGGUCUUAAAGUACAUUUCUAUAUAUACGUACUGCUAUGUACUGCUAUGUACUGCUAUGUACUGGUAUGUUCUUCAAGAUCUUAUUUCUAUAUAUAGCUUUCCUUUUUCCUUUUCCUUCAUUUCCAUUGCAUUUUGGACCCAUCUAGCUUGUGAGUUGAGACACACAUAAUAUAGUCAUUUAAAUUUGUGCAUGAGAUUCUAAUUGAUGUCCAUGCUAAUAAAGCAUUAGUUUAGGAGUCAUUUAAGUGCUAUAGUUGCUGACGCCAUGUCCCUUUAUUUGUCAACUUAUUAUUCCAGAAUCUCUCGUCUUUUGAAGGUUCAAAUUAUCUGUAACCUGCUCAUUCCUUAAAUCUACUCGGGAUCAACUUUGGAGAAUCAGCUAGCAUAUCGGACAGGGAUGGCCUACCUACUCAUUUGAGCACCAGUAAGGCAAUUGACCUACCCACUGAUCUACUCUCAAGUAUCUAUAUUGCGGAAACGGAUUAGCUUGCUCUUUGUGUUGCAGACACCAUCACAAGAAAUGAUUGCAUGUGGCUUUUUGCUCUUUGUGCUGCAGUUGAUACUCCACUGUGUGCUGACACUUGCUCCUCUCUCAGAGGUUUUCUGCAUAAGUGUGUGCUGGCAUUCAUGCCAUGAAGACUGAACUGGAUGAGGAGGUUGUAAUGUUGAAUAUAUUGGCUACUAUUUCUGUGAGGUAUUUUGGACAAUCUGAAAACUGAAUUCCUAGUUUGUAACUGUAAUGGGGGAUGAUGGAGCUGAGAACAUUAAGGUAAAUGCCAAAAUUUUGAAUGCAUGAAAAGUAAUGUAAUUAUGUAAGAAUAAUUAUUUGGAUGAUGAAUGAUGUGUAUAUAUCAUAGUUUGACCAAGUUUACAAAGUUCUUCAUACAAAUUUCCCUCCCAAUUUCUUACUCAAAUGUUUAGUCUGAUUAGGUUAUUUUGUUUUUUUGCUAAGCAUUUUCAAAUCAGCACGAGCCAAGAGAUAAAUAAACACAUUCCAUUAUACUGAUUGGAUGUGUUCGUAGUGACUGAGGUGGUCAAAUACUAAGAUGUAAGUUAUUUUUCAGUGAAACAUUCUAUUUUUCUUGUAGUGUAUUAAGAGAGUUGCUUACCUAUAUAAAGUUUCAUUAAUUUCAGCUAACAUUAAAUUGUUAAAAGAGGAAAAGAUUUGUUAAUUGAGAAGGGUGAAAAUAAAAAUUAAAGCACUUCCAAUAUUGUAUUAAUGGAGAAUGGUGAAAAAAUAAGAUCAAAAGUUCAUUUCAUAUUUUAAAUUUUAGAAAAUUAUUUAAUAACUCAUUUAUAUAUAUCAAGAUUAUGUAUUUUAAAAUAUAUGAAAAUUGGAGUGAUUAAACAUCUUUAAAAUUUUGAGAACCAUAAUGAUAUGCAAUUAUUAAUGAAGGGUAUUAAUGUAAUAUAUUUUAUUAUAAAUAAAAUUUUAGAUUGUGAUGAGAAGCAUUAAUUUCUUUUUAAUUAUUCCACUCAGGCACCCACAAGGCCACAACCAGUGUCUUCAUGCGGAGAGUAUAAGAAUGGAGAUUACCUGUCCCAUUUUAGAUGUACAAAUCUAAUUAAAGAUUGUCAUGUAAAUAAAAAGAAUAAUCGUAAAAGCAUAAAAUAAUUUUUGUAUGUUACUUAUUGAAAUGUAAUUGGUUUGGAGCAUGAAGACAGAAACUUUUUGGUUCCAUGUUCAUCUAAUGGAGUGAUAAGUGAUGGCGAAACAUUAAAUACUCCCAGUGGAGAGGUGGCUCUUGCGGUGCUUAAAUCCCACACUUCAAAUGAUCAGGAUGGAGUUUCUAGGCAAGGGAAACUUGAUGGGACUAUGUUGAGUAAGUCUAUUUAUGACUUUUCAGUAGAGACAAUGUCUAAUUGGUUCUAAUAAUAUGGUCUCCUUGGAUUCACAAUCUAGCGAAGAGCAUACCCAAGUGCAACUACCAUUUCAUCACUACAUUGUGAGAAUGCUGCACAAAUCCAUGAGCCUUAUGGCGGUGGUUCAAAUAGUGCUGACACUAUGAAGUCACCUUUGUCGUUUGAAAGAAUUGCCUCCUGAUAUUCAAAAUCUCUUCAAGAACAUGUUCAGUAUAAAUGCCAAAUGCAUGCCAAAAUUUGAAAAUCCUGCACAGAUCUAAGAGGUUAGUAAUGACAAUGUUUCAAACAUGCUGCCAGUCUGAAGAUGAGAGAGUUGCUGAUGCGCCAUAAUUUUAUUAGAUAAAAAGGUAUGUGUGGAAAUGUCUGGCAUUAUCAAAUUUACUGAUUCUAGAAAAUGUAAAUGCUAUGAAGUCCAGUGAGAAAAGUUUGGAGGUGUAGUAAAUGUAUAUGUUUCAGAGGAACAACAUAUUCAUGCAGUCCCAUUAAGCAUAUCUGCUGAACAAAUCCAUGGUGAAAUGCUAGAUGCAGCAAUUGUACUGACCAUCCAGAGAAUGUAACUCCUUUGAAUUCUUUGUCGAUGGGUCAAACACCAAACAUCUAAUUGAGUUUUAUCGUCAAGGCCUCCCUGGGCUUCUAAUCUGGACAACAUAAAUAAAGAGAGGUUUUAGUUUUUUUUCCAUUUUGAAAUAACCAUUGCAUUCCCUAUACAUGCCUAUUGUUACAUGUUAGACCCAUGAUGAAACAUUGUAAAAUAAGGGUUACUUGUCUCUCUGUUUUAUUUGCAUAUUUGAGCUGCAUUACCAAUAAGAGAUUUGGCUGAGAUAUUUGGGCCGUCUAGAUUUAGUGAUUGUGAGUGGAUGUGCCACAUCCAAGAUUGUUGUGUUUAGAUUUUAUUGUUAUAUAAAUCAUGUUAAUCGAUCUUGUGAGGCAUAUGGCUACUUUAUUUAGUGAUUAAUGUUGGAGUUAGAUCAGCAUUGUCUAUUGUUUACUAAAGGAGCAGGAGCUUAGUGCAGCACUGUCAAUUAUGUCUAAAUGCUUCUUCCUUUAGGGCAGGUUAAUGACUUUACUUAUGAUAUUCGUCUUUUUCAUGUUUGGUAAUACAUACAGUUAAUGCAUUGGUUCAGGUAUCAGAUACUAGAUGAUUGGCAGUUUCAGGAGGCGCAACGCCUUUUUAAACAGCCAAUAGUCUCAUGUGAGGAACUGGAACUUAAUCUUAAGUGAUCUGCUUGAGAUGAAGAAGUAAUGACUAUUCUUCUAUUGAAUAUCCUUUAAAAAAUACAUUGUUUCAUGCACUGACCCACAUGUUUGUUCUAUCUAUAAUGAUGAGUUCUUUGGCUAGAAAACUAACUUGCAUUAUGUUGCCUUUCUUACUGGGGUUAAUAACAUUUAUUAAAGGAAGCGAGAAUUGGUUCAACAAUGAUAGGGUGACAAAGUUUGUGACUUUAAAUACUAUUAUUAUGGACUAUUCGAGUAGAGUUUCAAUGAGCUAUCAUAGCCUCUUCAAUAGUCAAUUUUGUAUGAUUAAAGCAGCAAAGAACAAGUCAUUACAAGACCGACAAGUGAUUCUUAACUCAUUGAACAUGAGUGUUAAAACAUUCUCUGUUAUUGUCCUAACUAGCUCCUUCUCAUUCACUCUUUUUAUAUAACAGAUUGAAGUCAGUUAAGUCAACUGUAAACCCAUCUGUACCUAUGAAACGGAAGGUAUGUAUCCAUUUACUCUGCUAAGUUGAGUUGCUAGUAUAAUUGUGGCUACACUGGAUGAGAGGAACGCAGAUGCAUGCUUAGAUCUUUCAAGCCGGCAACUGAACAUAAGAUGUUCUCUCUACAAAUUUUUAACUGGUCAAGGCCCAUGGUUUUAGGCAAGUUGUGCAUGCCAAUAUAAUCUGGUUCCACUUUCUUUGUGUAGUUGUCUAGAGGUGUCUGCUUUGGUUUCUGAAGCUGAAUAGCCCUGGUGAACCUUCAAAGUUAAUCUUGCUUAUGUAUUAUCUUUUAUUUACUCUUUUCUUUACAUAGAAGUUGACAUGAUUAGUGAUUCAUUUUCAUGAAAAUAGUGGUUCAUUUUCAAGAGGGGAAGAGGGUAAUGAGUAAGAAAAAUUGCAUAAGUUGCUUUUGGUUUCUGUUAUUUGUAAGUUGUUACGUACAACUGUGAUGCAGUUUAUUAACUGAUACACUUGUGCUGGCGUUUACUUUCCAGUGCCUAGUUAAACUAUGAUUCUAUUGAUGCACUUUUUUGUAGGUAAAGAUACAAAUUUCAUAAUUUCCAUAUUCUUUUGCCAUCCUUCAAUUCAAGUUGCAACUCAUACUUGAUUUCCAGCAAUUGUUGACAGUAGAAUGGCAGGAAAAGACAUCAUAGAGAAUGAUAUAAUUUAGGGUAGGUUCGUUCACUUAAUUAUCAAACAAUGUAGAUUAUUUUAUUUGAUAUUUGUGAUUAUUAUUUUGGAAACUUAGUUAGAAAGUAUAUUGUGACAAUGUGAACUUCCUCCUGGUUUUCAAAAUCACCUCAAGAACAUGUCCAGUGUAAAUGCCAAUUUCAUGCCAAAUUUUGAAAAUCCUGCACAGAUCUAUAUGGUUGGUAACGACAUUGGUUCAAAUAUUUCAAAUAUUGCUGCCUGUCUGAAUUUACUUUUGAUUGAUUAUUAGAAUUUGCUGGUUGUAAAUAUGUGCAGAAAUGCCUGGCAUAGUCAGCUUCACUGAUUUCCAGAAAAUGUUAUUGCUAUGAAGUCCAGUGUGAAAUGUCCGGAGGUGUAGUAAAUGUCUCUGUUUCAGAGGAACAGCAUAUUGAUGCAGUCCAAUUAAGUAUACCUGCUGGACAAAUCCAUGGUGAAUUGUCAGAUACUAGUCAUGAAGGGGUCACAAUUAGUGUAGUUGAUAGUACACAUGGAAAUGUCAGGUGCAACAAUUGUACUGGUCAUCCAGAGAAUGUAACUCCUUUGAAUUCAUCAUCCAUAACCAAUCAUCUAACCCGGAGAUUUAUCAUCAAGGCCUCCCUGGGCUUGUCUGGACGACAUAAAUAAGGAGAGGCUUUAUUAAUUUUUUUUCCAUUUUAAAGAUAACCAUUGCAUUCCCUAUAUAUGCCUAUUGUUACUCCCUUGGUGAAACAUUGUAAAAUAAGGGGUUACUAACUUGUCUCUCUGUUAUAUUUGCAUAUUUGAGCUGCAUUACCAUUCAGAUAUUUGGGCUGUCUAAAUUUAGUGAUUACUAUAAAAUUAUAGUUAGAUUUUAUUGUUACAUAAAUCAUGUUAACAGGUUAGAUCUGCAUUGUCUAUUGUUACGAAGGAGCAGGAGCUUAGUGCAGCACACAAUCUCAAUCAUGUCUAAAUGCAUCUUCCUUUGAGUGCAAGGUUAAUGAGUUUACUUAUGGUAUUCAUCUGUCACCUUUGGUAAUACAUAAGUUAAUAUGUUGGUUUUGGUAUCAGAUACUAGAUGAUUAGCUGUAUCGGGAUGCUCGACGCCUUUUUAAAGAGCCAACAGUCUCAAGUGAAGAAACGGAACUUAAUCUUUAGUGGUCUGCUCCAGAUGAAGAAGUAAUGAUUAUUCUGCUAUUGAAUAUCCUUUUAAAAAUACAUGGAUUCACGUACUGAUCCACAUAUGUUUUUUCUAUCUAUAUCUGUUGAGUUCUUUGGCUUGAUAACUAGGUUGCACUAUGUUGCCUUUCUUUUCUUAUAGGGGUUAUAACAUUUCUGGUAAAAAGUGAGAAUCGGUUCAACAAUGAUAUGGCGACAAAGGUUUGUGACUUUAAAUACUAUUAUUUAUGGACUAUUUGAGUAGAGUUUCAAUGAGCUAUCAUUGGCUCUUCAAUAAACAAUUUUGUUAUGAUUUGUAUAUCAUUGUCAGGCAAUAGAAAAAAUUAUAGCAGCAAAUAACAAGUCAUCAGAAGACGGGCAAGUGAUUCUUAACUCAACUUCAUGAGCAUUAAAACUUUCUCUUUUAUUGUCCUAACUAGCUCCUUUUCAUUCCCUUUUUCUGUAAAUAACAAGAUUGUAAUUAGUUGAGUAAACUGUAAAUCCAUCCGUACAUAUGAAACGGAAGGUAUUAUCCAUUUACUCCACCAUCUCCACUAUUUGUCUACAUAUAGGUUUGCUUGAUGAAAGUCUGGCAUAUUUUCCCCAAUAACAUUUUUGGUCAGAUUCCAGGCCGGCUUUGAUUCAAUUAUUUCACUUUUCUUUGCCUAAUUUUCUGCUUUGAACUAAAUCAUGAAUUUUUGUUUCCUUGCUUUAUUUUCAUCAUGUUACAAUAUCAUAUGGAUAUUGAAAAGGCACUUGCGUUCCAUGACAAAUUUCAUCUGCUUAUGUAUCUUGCCAUCCCCUUCACUCUGCAGAUUUGCAGCUCUCAAGUCCUCACUUUUGUGUUCCCUUUUUUGUGUUUUAGUAAUAAUGGGAUGACUGGAAUGCAGGAAAUUUAAGUUAAUGUAAACAGGAAAUUUUCCCCCAUAUUUCUACAUAUCUGAAGUUGAGUUGCUAGUGUAAUUGUGGCUACACUGGAUGACAGGAACGCAAAUGCAUGCUUAGAUCUUUCAAGCCGACAACUGAACAUAUAAGAUGUUCUCUCUGCAACUUUUGAACUGGUCAAGGCCCAUGGUUUUAGAGGUGUCCGCUUUGGUUUCUGAAGCUGAAUAGCCCUGGUGAACCUUCAAAGUUAAUCUUGCUUAUGCAUUAUCUUUUAUUUACUCUUUUCUUUAUAGAAGUUUUGUCAUGAUUGGUGACUUUGUCGAAUAAUUAAAUAUAGCUUAUUGAUAUUUAUUCUUGCAUUGUAAUAAUUUUUAACUAAUUUUGUAUGAGAAAUAAAAAAACUAUGUCCAGCCUUCUUACAUUACUGGAGAGAUGUUUUGUUAACAUUAGUGUAUAUCUCUUAGCUUCACGUUUAGAGUAUUUUUGUGUGUUGAAUUUUGGAGGGAAAGGAAAGAGAAGACUUUUAGAAUUGUGUCAGAAAUGUAUUUCUCUUCCCUCCAUUACCCUUAAAGAAUCAACUCGCAAAUAUACCUUAUGUUCCCCCCCAACAUGAAGUCUUAUUGAUUAGGAAGAGAUACAAAUGGAUUGGAGAGCUUUAUUGUUUUAUCUUAAUUGCCUGCCUUUUCUUUUGUCUUUGCUAAGGAGAUAUCUUAUCCUCCUUUUCUUUUGUCUUUGCUAAGGAUGAAUAAUUUGUGGGUAUAAUUCAAGAUGAGAACACAAGUACCAAAUAACUACUCAUUGUACGAGGCUCCACCUAGUGGGGUCUGGGAAGCAUAGAUGUGCACAGCCUUACCCUCGCCUAAGCACGUCUGAAAUGGCAACUCACUUGAAAUAAGCUGCAGGAAGUGGAGAACAACAUGAGGAGGCUAUAUAAGUGCAACCUUAUCUCACAGUUAAUCCUAUCAAAGGAUUGUUGACUGGGAUGUUGUGUUGAACCUAAAAACAAUUACAGUGAGCUUCUUAUUUGCUUUAAAUACAUAGACAAUAUGAUGAAAAUAGUGGCUCAUUUUAAUGAGGGGAAGAGGGUAAUGAGUAAGAACAAUUGUAUAAGUUGCUUUUGAUUUCUGUUAUUUUAAAGUUGUUAUGUACAACUGUGAUGUAGUUUUUAUUAACUGUACGCUUGUGGCUGGUGUUUACUUUCCGGUGCCUAGUUAAAUUUGAUUCUAUUGAUGCACUUUUUUGUAGGUAAAGAUACACAUUUCAUAAUUUCCAUAUUCUUUUGCCAACCUUUAAUUCAAGUUGCAACUCAUACUUGAUUUCCAGCAAUUGUUGACAGUAGAAUGGCAGGAAAAGACAUCAUAGAGAAUGAUAUAAUUCAGGUCUGUCCCCUCUCGUUCACUUAAUUAUCAAACAAUGUAUAUUAUUUAUUUGAUAUUUGUGAUUAUUAUUUUGGAAACUUAGUUAGAAUGUAUAUUAGGUCAAGCUUGGCAUUGCCUUUCAUUCAGUGCUUUUCAGAAGAAAUCAUACUGAUAGGCCUAUGUUACGUUAAGUAACCUAACAAAAAAGGUGGUAAGGUUGUGGAGCAAAAUGAAUAUGUGACUUAGGAAUUUUUUAUAUUGAGGAACAAUAACUAAUAAAAAUAUCAGUGAUUGUUUCAUAUUCUUCUCUAAUGAAAGGAAAUAAUUUGUUUCUCUUCUCAUAACACGUGGACUGUUUGUUGCAUGCUCAUAACUAUACAUGAACAGUUACAUCAACUAUGCAGAACUUCUGGUGUCCAAGUAUCGAUUGACCCAAUAAAUGUUCCGGAUUCCUUGUAUUAACUUGGUCUUAAAUGUUUGCAGCAGGUGUGGUUUUCUUGGUCCAGCAAUCUUGUUUAUCUUGUUGAUUACUGCUAGUUAGCAUCCUUUAAUCAUACUGUCUACCCCCGUUAUAAUGAUUGCUAAUCACCAGUUACUUCGGUUCUAUUCAGGGAACCAUCUUACUCUACUUCAAUUGAUAUUGAUGGUGAGGAUGCUCAGAAAUUCCUUGCUGGAUUUUGCUGAAAACAUUGGCCCUGAAAAUGUCUGUGCUGAAACAAUGGUGUCUGCAGCUGUUGCUGCUUGUUAAAAUGGUAGGAGGCAUGGAAAACAUUUUUUGAUGAAUCAAGAAAGAUGAAAGAAAAAAGUUUUAUUCAUUUAAUAUUGAAAAUUGAUAACAAAAUUACAUUGAAUCCUUUAUAUAAAUGAUAGAAAAACUAAUUAUCCUAACUAAACUAAUUAACCAACUAACCAAUGCUCAACUAUUUUAACAUUCCCCCGCAAGCUGGAAUGUAUUAAGCAUUCCAAGCUUGAAAUAAUUGUGUUGAACACAAUAAUAUACUCUAAUACCUUCUCUUGUUGGUGAGCGAAUCUUCGUCUCUCAGUCUUGAAAUCUGAAUGUGAAGCAAUUUGACGCUUAACCACCAUAGGGCAGAAGCAACUUCAUCCAAAGCUUAACCAUCUAUUUCGAUAGAAGCUUAACCAACCAUAAUGGAUGAAAGAGAGAAAAUGGAUCUGAAUUUCGAUCCUAAUAUACUGCUUCAAUGAUGUAAAAUACACACCAAAGUAUUGUGUGUUUAAUGAGAGAGGUGUAAAAAAUAGAGUAGCAAAGAAAAAAAACAUAAUAUGGGGUAAAUGAUAAAGAAUAUGAAAAGAACGUAUAUGCACCAAAGCCAAAACUUUUCUGACAAAUCAAAACUAAUAGCCGUGUCAAAGGACUCAAUGAACAUCGGGUGCACGAAGCAAAUGCUAAGAUUUUCACUUUUGGAUCCUAUAUGCAUGGCCCUAGAACAGAUAUAGACACUUUGUGUGUAGGACCUAAACAUGAUUCCAGAGAUAAAUUCUUCUUUAUUAAGCUGCAAUGGAUGCUAUCCGAGAUGCUAGAAGUAAUAAAAGAGUUGCACUUUAUUUCUUGAUGAAGUUCUUGAAUGAGUCUUGAUAGUCCUCUUUCUUAUUAAUUCUUGAUGAUAUAAACUGGAUUGAGCAUUCUUCAAUAUAUGAUGAGAAUUUAACUUCGAAUGGAUCAAGAAAGAAAAAAACUUAAAGGAAGAAAGAAUGAAGGAGUUCUUUGUUUGAGGGUUCUGAAUAUGAUGAUGAAUUUCUCUUGACCAAACUUCAACUUCUUCUCACUUUGAUGAUUGAUGCAUGAUGAUUCUAUCUUGAAUCUUGGAACGGUAGAAGCAUAAGCGGAAGUGAUCAAAACAAUAAUUAUUGCUCUGAUUGUUUCAUAUUCUUCACAGUGAUUGUUUCAUAUUCUUCUUUGUUUGUUGCAUGCACAUAACUAUACAUGAACAGUUACGUCAACUAUGCAGAACUUCUGAUGUGCAGGUAUCAAUUGACCCAACAAAUGUUCGGGAUUCCUUGUAUCGAGCUUCUGUUAACUUUGUCUUAAAUGUUUGCAGCAGUUGUGGUUUUCUUAGUCCAGCAAUAUUGUUUAUCUUGUUGAUUACUGCUAGUUAGCAUCCUUUAAUCAUACCGUCUACCUCGAUUAAUCACCUGUUACUUUGGUUCUAUUCAGGGAACCAUCUUACUCUACUUCAAUUGAUAUUGAUGGUGAGGAUGCAGAAAUUCCGUGCUGGAUUUUGCUGAAAACAUUGGCCCUGGAAAUGUCUGUGCUGAAACAAUGGUGUCUGCAGCUGUUGCUGCUCGCACACGCUCAUGUCUUCUACAGGCUUGGUAGUUUCUUGCUCUAACACUUACGGUGGUCUGGUAAUAUUGUCUUUUCGCAUUUUGGUUUCAUUAAAAUUACAUUUUUGAAAUAAUGUUGUUGUCUAUUUAUAUAAUUUGUGUUACUGGAAACAUAACAAAUUCUUAGAAAGUGGUAUAAUAUCAUGCCAUUGAAUAAGGCUGUUGUGUCUGUUUUCCUCUAUUUGAUUGUGCAGAAAUGAAAGAAUCAGAGGCUAGUUUAAGUCUUGCUAAUGUUUUUAAUGUAUAAUUUAUUGUCGGUCACAAAAAUGAAAGUUGAACCUGAAAUUAUUGUAACUUACUGCUUGAAUUUUUUGACCUUGGAUUGUUAAAAUGUGAUAUAAUUCAAGUUCAGGCAAUCAAGUUGAUUGGUUGUUAAGUGUAGAAUAAGAAAAGAGCAACUUGCCAUAAUUAGUUAGUUUUUGAAAUUCAAUUAUGGUUGUUAACCAAGUUAUGGCUAUAAAAGGAAAGUGUGUGAAUUCUUUGUGUAAUGCAAUUUCUUCAAGAAUAACACUACUCAUACUCUCUAUACAUUGGUUAGCACUACUUCUUCUCUUCUCAGUCUUCUUCUUCUUCUUUCCCAACAAACUUGGUAUCACGAGCUUAAAAGGGUCCAGGGAUCUAUGAGGUGUGAGUGUGCAUAAACACCUAAACUAGUUGCUAAACCAAAAGGAGCAGUUACAACUAAAAAAUUCAUUGCGUGUGAAUCAACUAGCUAGAAGGAGAUCAGGGAACAAAACCUGUGGGAGGAAUCAGAGAAAAUCCGAAAGAAGUAAGCAGAUAAUUGAAGACAAAGAUGGUGGGAAAUGGUACAAAUCUACCAUCCAUGGGACUCCUUAUUCUCACAGAAAAGAAUUGGGAUAGAUGGAGAACACAGAUGAAAGUUUUGUUCAGUUUUCAAGAGAUAAGUGAGGUAGUUGAAGAUGGUCCUCAUGCACCACGUCCUGAUGCAACAAAAGCACAGAGAGCUAUGCACAAAGAAACCAAGAAAGGAGAUAACACAACACUAUUUUUGAUCCAUCAAUGCGUAGAUGAUGUCCACUUUGAGAAAAUUCAAAACGCUACCACUGCCAAAGAAGCCUGAGAUAUCUUGAUUCGAAGCCAUGAAUGUGGAGACAAGAUCAAAAAGGUAAAAUUCCAAACUCUUAGAAGGCAAUAUGAAUUAUUAAACAUGUAAGAGAAUGACAAAAUUGGUGAAUACUUCACCAAGAUACUAACCAUUACAAACUAGUUGAAAGGGUAUGGAGAAUCAAUCACAGAUCUCAUGAUAAUUGAAAAAAUAAUGAGAUCUCUACCUCAGAAAUUUGACUUCAUUGUGGUAGCAAUAGAAGAAUCCAAAGACAUCACCAUAAUGAAGAUAGAGGAACUACAAAGUUCCCUUGAGGCUCAUGAAAUGAGAUUGCUUGAUAGAUGUCCAAGCAAAAGAAUAUAACAAGCUUUGAAGGCAAGCCACUUCAAAGAGGAAGACAAGAAAAAAGACAACAAAUGGAGAGGCAGACAUAUGCAUAACAAAAGGUGGCCACAAAAUUCAGAAAGAAGCAAAUUCACUCAUGAUUGGCUUGAAUCUUCUGACAGAAGAGGAAAGCCAAGAAUGAUCAAACACAAAAAAGAUUUGAUAAGAGGAAUGUAGAGUGCUUCAAUUGCCACAAAUUAGGACACUAUUCCUAUGAAUGUCUAUCUGAUAAGGCAAAACAUAUGAAGAAUCAUGAAGAAGCAUAUGCUGUGCAAGAAGAAUCAGACUCAGAACCUAAUGGUGACCACCUCUGCAGAGAACUCACUCACUGAAUCAUGGUACCUAGAUUCAGGUUGCUCCAAUCAUAUGACAAGACAUAAAGAAUGGCUGGUAGAUUUUGAUCCAUCAAAGAAAAACAGGGUAAAUUUUGCUGGUGAUAGCUCACUAGAAGUAGAAGGAGCAGGAAAUGUGGUGAUCACAAGACAGAAUGGAGCAAAAGCCAUAAUCUCAAAUGUGCUUCUUAUGCCAAAAAUAAAGUGUAAUAUGCUAAGUAUAUGAUAACUAGUGGAGAAGGGAUUCAGUGUGGUGAUGAAGGAUGAACUACUUGAACUCUCUGACCAGGACAUUCCAAGUAAACAUACAAGCUGCUGAAGUUCAAUGCUUGGCAUCAAUGGAAAUGAGUGAUGAAAGUUGGUUGUGACACUCAAGAUUUGGCCACCUGAACUUUAAAAGCCUACGUCAACUAGGAUCAAAACAAAUAGUCAAAUGAAUUCCUAUCACAAGUCUACUAGAAAAGGCCUGUGAGGUCUGCUUGAUUGGCAAGCAAACCAAAAGCUCAUUCAAGUCAGAGGUAAACAUGAGAUCAAAACAUGUGCUAGAGGUAGUUCAUUCUGAUGUGUGUGGCCCUUUUGAAACAUCAUCUUUAGCAGGAAACAUGUACUUCAUAAUCUUUGUAGUGGAAUGAUCUGGCUAGAUGUGCUAAAAGCUAAGUGUGAUGCAUUUGAAGCAUUCUUGAACUUUAAAGCUGUUGCAGAAAAGGAAAGUGGAAAACAGUUAAAAUUAUUGACGACAGAUGGAGGAGGAGAGUAUACCUCAAAUGAGUUUGAGGCUUAUUGCUGAAAGAAUGGAAUCAAGCAUGAGGAAUUUAACAUUUUUACAUUGCCAUCAGCUUUUUUUUCUUUUUGUAUUGUUUAUUUGAGAAAUAUUUUUUCAAUUAACUAGGAAUCAUGGAAAAAAAUUAUAUUGAAAGCAAUAUUCAAAUCAAGAGGAUUUCAGGUACAUGUAACACUAUAUAUAUAUAUAUGUGAGCUUCAGCAAAAUAAUAUUUAAAUAUAAAAAAGUAAUAUAUUUUGGUACCUCAUGCAUGCAUAAAAAAGUAUUAUUUUUCAUUGAGAGAAAUAUAUUUAAAAAAUUACGUGUUUAACUUUAAAUAUAUCCUACUUAUUUUAUGCUUAGAAAAGUAUAUAUUAUUGUACAAUAUAAUUGAUAAAUCCUCUUAUAUCAUAUAUAAUGUAAUAUGUGCGGGUGAUAUAUUCUUUUUUUUUUGUUCAUUAAUAAUGGUUUAGAUGUCAUAUAUCUCAUUUUCUUAUAGUUUAGGAAAAUUUGUAGGUUAAUCAUAUUGAAAGAUAUAUGAAUGCUCUUUUGGUUUUUAGGGAUUGAGCCUAAAAACUCAAAGUUAACUUUCCAUAUAUUGUUUUUCUAAUACUGAAUCUUUAAUAAAAGAGGAAAAAACUAAUGAGAGUAGUAGUUAUACAUAUGCAAUUUUUCAAAUUUACAAAAUUUUAAAUAUUCAAAAUUUAUUUUUAUUGAAAAAUGUACUAAUCAAUUGUAGUUAUUUUCAAAUACUUAUAUUAUGACUAAAACUAAAAUAAGUGAAAUAUUAAAUUACUUAAUUUUAAAAAAAUAUUAAGGAUGUGAUUCAUACAUAAUAACCCAAUUAUAAAAUCCCUUCUUUCCCAUUUCACACUUUGGAACACACCAUUCUUACAAAGAGAGGUGCCUUUUAGAGAAAAUAUAACUUAAAACUAUAAAUUUAAAGAUUAGAGGAAGUUUUUCACUAAUGAGUUGAAUAUAUUUGUAGAUGUAAAAAGUUUAUAACUAAAGUGGAUCUCAUUGGGAGUUUUUGUAAGUACCAAUUAAUUUUUUAUUCAUGUUCUAGACUCAUUGUUUUUAUUAAAAAUUGGAAUUUUGCAUAAUUAUUUCAAUUAUUAAAAAUGGGAAAAUUCUAAAAAGUAUUGAAAGAAGAAGAAAUCAGUCUGAAUAAGAGUGCAUUCUAAAUUAGUACUGUUAUUAAAAUUUUAAAUCUUUUUAAGAUCAUUAAGAAGAUUUGAUUUACAGGUGGCGGUGUGCAUAGGUCGGUGUGUAAUAUGUUAUAUAAAGGCACCUUCAUUAAAAGUGACUACAUCAGAAUGUUACAUGAGAAACAUGUGCGAGAGAGAGAGAGAGAACUUGAUUCGCAUUUCCGACUCUUUUAAUUUCUCUCUAUUUUCAAUCUUCUGCAAGAAACAUGUCUCAGUUCUCUAUCUUUUCCACGGAAUCCUAAAAUCUUGAUGCAAUUUCUUAGUCUAUGAUAGUCACGGUAUUUUCUUGAAAUUACCUAAUAAUGAAACAUGAGAUAGAGAUAGAGAGGUUUGAAUUCCUAAAAUUCUUGAGGCAACCUCUUAGUAUUUGAUAAUGAUGUGUUUUUCUUGAAUUUCUUAGUAUCUGAUAAUGAAACGUGAGAAAGAGAUCAAAUCUGAUUAAUUAUAUGGCUUUCCAAUCCUUUCUUUCUUUUAUCUACAUUUUUAAUAGUUGAGUUCUUGUUUCUUACCAUGUUGUCUGCUUCUGUUGAUUUUUUGGAAAUGCUGAAGAAAGACACAAAUAAUAUAAUCAAGAAAGAUUGAUAAAUAAUUUGAGUUAUUUUUUGAGUGCCCUUUCGGAUCCUUUAUAAUUGGUACUCAUAAUGAAAGAGAUUAGUAUGUUUGACCCAUGUUGCCUACAAUCUGGAAUGUUGAUGAGUUAAACCCUAAUUGGUUGAUGGUCCUAACUGAAACUGUAACAUGAAUUCUUUAUUCAUAAUGGAUGGAUGGUUGGAUUGAAAUUAUAUUCUUGUAGUAUGAAUUCUAUUCAUAAUAUAAAAAUGGAUGAUAUACUUUUAUGAUUUCAUUCAAGGAUCUUGAUGAAUCUAAAUUUAAGUGGGUGGUUGUUUUGGAUUGCAAGAAUGAACGUUGUUUGCAGGAUGAAUGCUUAAUUCAUAAUAUGUUAUUGGGUGGUAUGUUUGACCCUAGUUGCCUAUGAUUUUGAAUUCAGAUGCGACCCUAAUUUGCAAAAUGACCGGAAAUGCAAUUACAAUUUAAAUUCUCAAUUGGGUAUACUUGAGUCAAUGAUGGUCUUCAAUGCAAUUGUAGUAUGAACUCUUUGUUCAUUAUAUAAAUUGGGAUGCUCUGUUGGGGGACAUGAUGUCCCAAAAUACAAUUGUAAUACAGACUCUUUAUUAACUAUGCAAAAAGAGAUGGUAUAAUUUGCCUCGAUAACCCGAAAUACAAAUUGUACUACAGAUUCAUUAUAUAAAUUCUGAAUUGUUUGUAUGAGCCUUGAAUAUGCUAAAUGCAGUUGCAGCUCUUGAAGGACUCUGGAUAGAAUCCUUUUAUGUUAUGCAGUAACGAAAACUUGAAAGGGUAACCACUGUUAUGUUAUCCAAGCAUGGGCAGUCCAAUGAUUUUCCUUCCCAUCCUUGUCCAUGAAUUAUACUUUGAUGAAUGAAGUGAUGUAACUUUGAUGAGUGAGUUACUAAAGCAAGGAUUAUAUGUCGACUCCAAAGACCACCAUGGUAUAACACCAGUCGAAAUUGCCAUGGAACAAAAUCAUGUGGACAUGGUUAAGUUGCUUGUGAUGAGUGGUGCAGAUAUCACUGGUAUACGUAGAGGCCACCUUAUGAAAUUGCCAUGAAUUUUGUGCAUCCACCUUAAGUGAAAUGCUGAAGAAGCGUGAGAUUGGACAUCUAAUUAAUAUACAUGAGGCCAUACUCAGUGAGAUUGUAUUAAGGGGGCCACAUGAAGAAGAUAAAGAACGCAUUUGGGGAAGAUAUAAUGGACUAAACUGCCCAAGAGUUAGUAUAUAUGGAGGCCACCCUAUACUGAGAGAAGAUAAAGGUGCCUUGGAAGCUGGGAAGCUAAUAAGGUUGCCUGAUUCAUUUGAGGAGCUUAAAACUAUUGCAGGUAAUAUGUCCAAUUUCCCACAAUGAAAAAAUUAGUAUCUGUUCAUUUGACCUUAAUUGCCUACAAAUUUAAAUUAAUUUUGAGACCCUUAUUAUUGGCUGGCAGCUAGCUGGUUGUAAAUACAAUUGCGUUAUGAAUUAUUGAUUCAAAUGUAAAACUGAGAUGGUAUACUUGAGCUUUUGGUCUCCUUGAAUGCAAUUGUAGUAUGAAAUUCGGAUGAUUAUGCUUUGGGGGACUAUGAAAUACAAUAGCUAUAUGGAUUAUGUAUUCAUGGUGUGAAAGCAGAUGGGACAAAAUGUUUGAGGCUGCUCAAUCUGCAAUUGUUAUUCACAAUGUAGAAAUUAGAAUUAUAUGUUGAUCCCUAAAUGGAGUGUGAGUUCUUUGUUCAUAAUAUAAAAAUUGGAUGGUAUGUGUUGUGCCUUGACGACCCUGAAUUAGUGAAAUGCUAUAUGGAAUUAGUUGGUGCUCCCUCAUUGAAUUUCUCUUUUGAGAAGAAAUCAAUAGAAUGUUGUGGAGUUAACCUGUUUGAUACAAUCUUUAUAGAUUCAGAUUUUGGUUGACAAUGUGCAACUACCAUUUAAUCGCCACAUUGUGAGAAUGCUGCACAAAUCCCUGAGCCUUAUGACGGUGGUUCAAAUAAUGCUGACACUAUGAAGUCACCUUUGUCUGUUGAAAGAACUGCCUCCUGGUUUUCAAAAUCACCUCAAGAACAUGUCCAUUGUAAAUGGCAAUUGCAUGCCAAACUUUGAAAAUCCUGCACAGAUCUACAUGGCUGGUAACGACAAUGUUUCAAAUAUUUGAAAUAUUGCUGCCAGUCUGAAUUCACUUUUAUCGAUGACAGAAUUGCUGAUGGGGCCAUAAGUUCCAUGUUGCCUACAAUCUGGAAUAUUGAUGAGUUAAACCCUGAUUUGUUGAUGGUCCUAAAUGAAACUGUAACAUGAAUUCUUUAUUCAUAAUGGAUGGAUGGUUGGAUCGAAAUUAUAUACUUGUAGUAUGAAUUCUUUAUUCAUAAUAUAAAAAUGGAUGAUAUGCUUUUAUGAUUUCAUUCAAGGAUCUUGAUGAAUCUAAAUUUAAGUGGCUACAGAA